rnacentral:lncRNA from 1 species
UCCCCUGAGCCUCAGGUUGACCAUGAUGGAUAUUUAGGGCCUAUUCAGGUUCUACAGAGUUCUACUACCCCAAUCUUUGAGGGAUUGUUGAUUCAUUUGCUGACUUAUUUGGAGGGUUUUUCUUUGAGUGCACCUGGUGUUCCUCCAACUCUGAGUAUUGUACCUUUAUCUAUGCCAGAGUCUACCUAUAGUUAUCCUCCAGCUCUGAGUGUCGAUUCUUUAGUGGUACCGAUAUCUUCUUAUGGUACUCCACAGAUCUCGAGAGUUAUUCCUCCUUCGAUGCCAGUAUAAGAGUAUGGUAUUC